GCUUUGAAGCCAUCAACUCACAGCUAACUGUAGAGAGCAAAGAUACCCACAUUAUCAGCAGGAUUGAGAGCUACUCACGUAAGAUAGCAGGAGACGACAAACACUGUUCUGACAGGAGGGCGGCCCACAUACUGAAGGCUCUCUCCCCAUCCCAGACCUCAGGCCUCAGCCCCAGCAGCCUGAGCAAGAACCAAGGUGGCAAGGACAAGGGCCCCCCUCAGGGACAAGUGCAAUUGCAAGACCCUCUUCCACUUGAUUGUCAUGCUCAGCGAGUCCUUUCAGGCCUGACUAUGACCUCAGCACAGCCCGCAGCCAUGGGUUCAGCCGGAAGCCCAGCCUCAGGUGGGUGGUGAAUGCAGUCAACCGCAGUCUGUUCUCAGCUGCGUGGGGGGACAUCAAGGUCCUAGAACACAGCUGUGGAACACAGUGGAUGAGGAGAUCCACCUGGCUUAAUGAGACACCCACAGCUAUAACCCAGACAUGGACCCAGAUGCCUUCAGAGAAGAAGAUACCCUCUGGUCCUUCAACUACUUCUUCUACAACAAAGGGCUCAAGCAAAUUGUUUUCUUCAGCCACCGCUCCAUUAGCAGCUCCACCUGCACACCCUCAGAGGCAGGCAACGAGAUGGACCUGGAACUGGGGGAAGAGGAGGAAGAGAAAGGAAGCAGAGGUGGAGGCAGUG
rnacentral:lncRNA from 1 species